UGAGAGCACUUACUCUCAUAACCUGACUCAUCCUGAUCUCUCUAUUCCUAUAGCCAAAAAAUUUUCACCUGCCUCUCCGACAAUGUCAUCCUCAUCCAGUCAGGAGAACCGCUUGAAAGUCUUCCUAUCCUUCUCAGCUGAGAUGGUGGAAAUCAGCACCUACCUUGCGCGAGCUGCUUUUGUACGUUCAUUUGGACGUGCGAUCAAAGUUGACGAUGUGGGAGCUAUACUUGCUCACAAAGCUAGAGUUCCUGGUUCAUGGAUCAUGAAGAAACUUUCCCGAGAUAGCGAGUUUUUUGUUUCGUGCCCUUCUUCAGAGGUGGUCCAUGCACUGAUGGCUUUAGGUCAUAUUCGGGG
rnacentral:lncRNA from 1 species